UACAGGUCGGUGGUAUUCACGUAUCGAAGGCGAUAACCUUUGCGGCGAUUUGGAAGCGUCUGACGUAGAGCCAGGCUCACUGCGCUAAUCCAAAACUUUCUUUCGCCUGAGAAAGUGGUGUUCUUGAGGACAGAGAGUUAACACGGCCUCAGUCGGGAGAAGCCCAGGUUCUUUGAAAAUGCCUUGGUCAAAAGUAGGAUAGGAAGGCGAUAUUUGGCCAUAACUGAAGGAUGGUGAGCCACCGUUUGCCGCUUGAGUAGUUAAGCAGGGUCUUAAUAAGAGAGUGAAAUAAGCUCAAAUGGAGGUGGUUUUGUUUGGGUAUAAAAUCGCUCUGUGCUGGUAGCAGCAGGAGCCUGUGAAAACGUGUUUUGUGCAUAGAAGGGAGAGGACUUGGCCAAUUCAAAGAUCACUUAGGAAGAAUCGCUGUGUUGUCUUGCGUUUGGGGAACGAGUUCAGUGGGGUUUAGCGAUCUGCUUGAGCUAUCGCCUUUCUCCGAAGCCAAUCCCGUUUUAACCAUGUACUCUUCCUCCAGUGCCUUGCGUUCCAUGAUAUUUCACUGCGAGCUCCUGCGCUUUUUCCUAGCCACUCGCGAGAAGGCUGUUGUCAGGUUAUCCGAAGCAGAAGAUUCUGGCGCACCCAUGAAUACCGUGGAAGCUUUCUGUACACUAAACAGUGCCUGUAAGAGCUUCAUAGGCGUUUGAAGAUUGUUGGCGAGAAGUGUGCUGCUAACCUGGGCCUGACCGAUGAAUUCCGGAUGGCUGUGAGAUACCCACCCUCAGGCCCUUCAGACUACCGCACGCGUCUUCUGGAUUCUGGGUGGCCGUCAGUUGGGCCAGCCUCCUGGCUAAGAUGUUUGCCCCGCAGGAGUUGCUGCACGUGUACGGAUCGCCACCAAAUGGAUUUCACAUGUCGCCCGUCAGUCUACCCACCGUUGACAUAUAAUUGUUUUUGGUGGGUGCCUGUGGAGAGUAAUGAAAAGCUUUGCGCAGCAUUUGCACAAUAAAGAUGGAGCAUGGGGAUAUCA